GCAGCCCACGCCCCACGCUAGCCCACAGCACGCUGAUUGGUCAGAUAGACUGUCAAUCGGAAAAGCCAGAAGGCGGGCUUUAGAGCCGUGAGAAGGCGGAAGUUCGCCUUCGCCUGGAAGGAAGUGCUUCUGGGGAGCCGUAGGCACAGAGUAGAGAAGGUUUUUGUCAGGGUCGCAGAGGCUCUCCACGAACAAAACGGGCCAAAGGUUGACGGAAAGAGGCCGCAAGCUAACCUGGCUAGGUGGCACCUCACCUGGUCUGAUGGGGGCUGCCAUUUCUGCCCCUUCUGGAGGGCCAUGAACACUGUGUCGUCUGCCAGCGUUUGGAAAUACUCUUCUGUCUCUACCACUGUGCCAUCUUCCUCCAGCACCAGGAAGAAGGGCUUGUUUGCCAGCAUCAGGGUGUCCCGGACCUGGGGAAUAAGCUUCCCGGCACUUCUACAAGUUUAAGAACGACUGUAAAAGGCAACCUAAGGAUCCUUCCAGGGAGCAAUUAUGCUCUGAAAAUACCACUGAUCAUCAUAUCAACAUAUCAACAUAUAGGAAAGCAAUAUACUGCCCUCCCCCUGUCAACGGACAGACAACACUAAUCAACUGUACAGCACUCCAGGCAGGCACUACCAACCCACUUGACCUGGCCUGAGAAAGGAAAUCUUUUCGCCAUGUAAGCCAUGAACUUCAUCCUUACUGAACUUGCAGCUCAUGACCUGGAGGACAGAGGCAGCAGGCAGGGCCAACUCUGAGCCAAGGUCCCAGUGGCUGGGCUGUGCAGAGGUCAGGCCUGCCCCUCACCUUGU